AAUAGAGAGAGGGGAGGGUUUCAGAAUAGAGAGAGGGGAGGGUUUCAGAAUAGAGAGAGGGGAGGGUUUCAGAAUAGAGAGAGGAGAGGGUUUCAGAAUAGAGAGAGGAGAGGGUUUCAGAAUAGAGAGAGGAGAGGGUUUCAGAACAGAAAGAGGAGAGGGUUUCAGAAUAGAGAGAGGAGAGGGUUUCAGAACAGAAAGAGGAGAGGGUUUCAGAACAGAAAGAGGAGAGGGUUUCAGAACAGAGAGAGUGGAGGGUUUCAGAACAGAGAGAGUGGAGGGUUUCAGAACAGAGAGAGUGGAGGGUUUCAGAACAGAGAGAGGGGAGGGUUUCAGAACAGAGAGAGGGGAGGGUUUCAGAACAGAGAGAGGGGAGGGUUUCAGAACAGAGAGAGGGGAGGGUUUCAGAACAGAGAGAGGGGAGGGUUUCAGAACAGAGAGAGGGGAGGGUUUCAGAACAGAGAGAGGGGAGGGUUUCAGAACAGAGAGAGGGGAGGGUUUCAGAACAGAGAGAGGGGAGGGUUUCAGAACAGAGAGAGGGGAGGGUUUCAGAACAGAGAGAGGGGAGGGUUUCAGAACAGAAAGAGGGGAGGGUUUCAGAACAGAGAGAGGGGGAAUGUAGCCUGAGGAAAGAAGAGCUUUACAACAGAGAAGAAAAUCACACGGUUAACUUUACAACCACACCACCCUCUUCCCCCACCAGCCACCACAACCCUAAACCUCUUCCUCUAGGACAUAUCUGUUCAGACAAGCCCAACACCUCAACAACACGAGAGAGAAAGACAAAAGACAGAGGAUUGGAAAUUUGUAAGUCGCUCUGGAUAAGAGCGUCUGCUAAAUGACUUAAAUGUAAAUCUAUAUAGGAGAGGAGAACAUGAAUACUUGAAUAUGUGGUAGAGAUGAACUCAUGGAAACAGAGAGUGAUAGAGGUGGUCAGGCAAUAACAAGCUGGAGAAGACGCAGCUGGUGUGGAGAAGAGGGAGUGGCGACGGAGAGAGGAACAGACAGGUACAGAGGGAGUGGCGACGGAGAGAGGAACAGACAGGUACAGAGGGAGUGGCGACGGAGAGAGGAACAGACAGGUACAGAGGGAGUGGCGACGGAGAGAGGAACAGACAGGUACAGAGGGAGUGGCGACGGAGAGAGGAACAGACAGGUACAGAGGGAGUGGCGACGGAGAGAGGAACAGACAGGUACAGAGGGAGUGGCGACGGAGAGAGGAACAGACAGGUACAGAGGGAGUGGCGACGGAGAGAGGAACAGACAGGUACAGAGGGAGUGGCGACGGAGAGAGGAACAGACAGGUACAGAGGGAGUGGCGACGGAGAGAGGAACAGACAGGUACAGAGGGAGUGGCGACGGAGAGAGGAACAGACAGGUACAGAGGGAGUGGCGAUGGAGAGAGGAACAGACAGGUACAGAGGGAGUGGCGAUGGAGAGAGGAACAGACAGGUACAGAGGGAGUGGCGAUGGAGAGAGGAACAGACAGGUACAGAGGGAGUGGCGAUGGAGAGAGGAACAGACAGGUACAGAGGGAGUGGCGAUGGAGAGAGGAACAGACAGGUACAGAGGGAGUGGCGAUGGAGAGAGGAACAGACAGGUACAGAGGGAGUGGCGAUGGAGAGAGGAACAGACAGGUACAGAGGGAGGGAGAGAGGAACAGACAGGUACAGAGGGAGGGAGAGAAGGAAGGAAAGGGGGGGGUGUCGAACACAGCUGACAGAGUUGAGUAUAGUAACAGGGGAAGUGUGGAAUGCUGGCUGCUACUAAUAUUAACACCCAACUCCUCCCUGCUGCCCCGAGAGAGAGUGAGUGUGUGUGUGUGUGUGUGUGUAUGUGCGUGCGCACGCUCGCAUGUAUGCGUGUGGGUCACUGAUUUACCAGUGCUCCGUAAUAUCUCCUACAUAUAGGGCCCCUCCCUUUCUCUGACAUUGGAGUUCAGACAACACUACACGCACUCAGUCAAAAACAACAAAACACUUCCAGUAACAAGGCAUUACGCCAGAACUAAUGAUUAAGCUGUUGGAUCAGGUCGAAACAAGCCCAGUCUCUCUCUCACACACAAGGUUGGAACAGACUGCGAAAAACCAGUUUCUACACCAGUCAAGUUGGAGACUGACAACUGUACACACUCACUGAGCGAUCUGUGUGUUACCAUCCGAAGUCAGUCAGUAAACAUCAGUUUACACCUGAUCGCCUUAGAUCAAUCAGCCAGGAAUCAAUUAGAAUCAAUUAGACUCAGGGAUUCACUGGCUGUCAGUCUGCCUGACAGAUUGAUCACGAGAGUGAAUCAGGUGGUUGAGACACAGUGUAAAGUGGGACGACAGUUGAGGGACCAGAUUGGGCUUUCAGGCUGAAAGAAGACUGAGAACUGCCCAGAGAGAAAGUUUAAAAAGAAAGAUAGAAACUGAGAAGGAGGGAUUAAAGAGAAGGACGAGGGAUUAUACAGUAAACAUGUGGUAACAGUAGCAGGUGGGUACGGGCCAGACUAGGAUUAAGUCUUCAUUUUUAACACUGAUUAUUCUCCUUCCGAAAACCACAUUCACUGAGUUCCAAUUGGAGGUUUUCAGAGACUUUAGAUAAAGAAUUCUGGGGGGAAAAAGUGUGCGUGUGAGAAACAUAAGCAGUAGAGAAUGUGUGAAUAGAGCUUGUAUCAUGAGUAAUAGUUAUCAGUGUGAGUCUAUCGGUCUUUAGUGGACACUGAGUGCAUCACUGCUCCCACAUAACUGGCGCAGCGAGUUUCCAUGUAGUUUGUUUUUGUUAACGUGAGACCGUGUCAAUGUGUAUGUGAGAGUGUGUGUGUCUGAACAUGCUUGUUUGUGUCUAUAGUACAUGUGUGAACAUAUUUCUCUGUCUGGUUAUGUGUUAGUCUGUCUUUAGUCUGCUACG